rnacentral:rRNA from 1 species
UACGAAGGGGGCUAGCGUUGCUCGGAAUCACUGGGCGUAAAGGGCGCGUAGGCGGCUCGGUAAGCGUGCGGUGAAAGCCUGGGGCUCAACCCCGGGUCGGCCGUGCGAACUGUCGAGCUCGAGCACUGUAGAGGCAGGCGGAAUUCCGGGUGUAGCGGUGGAAUGCGUAGAGAUCCGGAAGAACACCGGUGGCGAAGGCGGCCUGCUGGGCAGUAGCUGACGCUGAGGCGCGACAGCGUGGGGAGCAAACAGG